rnacentral:rRNA from 1 species
AGUGAACGCUGGCGGUAGGCCUAACACAUGCAAGUCGAGCGGCAGCACAGUAAGAGCUUGCUCUUACGGGUGGCGAGUGGCGGACGGGUGAGGAAUACAUCGGACUCUACUUUUUCGUGGGGGAUAACGUAGGGAAACUUACGCUAAUACCGCAUACGACCUACGGGUGAAAGCAGGGGAUCUUCGGACCUUGCGCGAUUGAAUGAGCCGAUGUCGGAUUAGCUAGUUGGCGGGGUGAAGGCCCACCAAGGCGACGAUCCGUAGCUGGUCUGAGAGGAUGAUCAGCCACACUGGAACUGAGACACGGUCCAGACUCCUACGGGAGGCAGCAGUGGGGAAUAUUGGACAAUGGGCGCAAGCCUGAUCCAGCCAUACCGCGUGGGUGAAGAAGGCCUUCGGGUUGUAAAGCCCUUUUGUUGGGAAAGAAAAGCAGCAGGUUAAUACCCCGCUGUUCUGACGGUACCCAAAGAAUAAGCACCGGCUAACUUCGUG